AAUAUUUUCGCCUCACUGACGAGGUUUCAUAUAAAGCAAAAAUGAAAAUAAAUACCCUGCGGUUCCUCUGCAGAAUUCCAAAAGGAGAAACACGAUUACUUUUGAACAGGUAGCUGUCCUUCCUGGUCCCUAAUAUCAAAACGUAGCUCCCAAUCCAAGCCCUGGACCAUAUUGCAGUCUUCUAUACAGAAUAAAUUCCCUUUUGAUAUCUGGGGGCUUUUUUUCUUUUUUGAAAUAGGGUCUCCAUAUGCAGUCCAUCCUCAUCUCGGAUUUCUGGCGAUACUGCGGCUUCAACCUCCCAAAAGUGCUGGCAUUACAGGCGCGCGCCACCACGCCCCACGACGUCCAGAGAUUUAAAAAACGUUUUCUCUCCACUAACUGAGCAGGGAAAAUAUGUACUAUUCACUCUUUAGGAAAUCUCAACUCUGUUCCACCACACACCGGUGAUUACUUUCAGCUUAUUCCAGCCUUGAAGCACAAUCAGGAAGAUCGGGGAUCCUCCAACCCUCCUUUUUCCUGCGCUGUUUCCUCCGCCACACGAGGACCCCACUACUCCUCUUUCAAAGCUCUCCAAGCAGCUCGUGGCUAGCGCUUCCGCUAGAAUCCCCCAUCUCUUCCACACAAUCUGGGUUGUUUUUCUCGGAAUCUGGAGCAUCUACGUGACGCUAAUCCUGGACUAAGCGUGAGGAAAGAGAACAGAUGUUGGAGAUUGCAAUACAAGCUGCGGAGCCACCGGCAAUAAUUUGUGCAAGACAGAUAGUAGAGGUCUCCCGCAACCGCUCAGCACUACAAGAGUGCACUGACCAGAAGGCCCCAGGUGCAUGCGCCCCUAUGCCCUGCCCCCUCCCGGAACCUCUAUACCCAUUGGCUCGGAGGCUGGGGGUGUAGCUUUUCGUCGUCGUGCGGAGGUCACGUGGCCCACGGGGGUGGAGCUGUGCGGCCGCCUCCUAACUGGACUGAAAGGGUUUGCGUAUCCGCCCUCGUCGGCCCCGAGAGCGCGGCCUCCCCCUCACCGGUUAGCGUCAAGGGAGUUGCUCCGAGUUCUCGUAGCCCUCUCAGACUCGCUUUCUUUCCCUCUGGAAACUAAACCUCCUGAGCCCUUGCUGCGAAGCCUACGGCCGCCUGGAAGCCGGAUCCGAGUGUUCGCCAGUAACCGGAAGUGCCUCCCGCAGGCCGAGGGGCGGCUCCGGGGGCUGCUGUAA
ensembl:lincRNA